UACGUAGGGGGCAAGCGUUGUCCGGAUUUAUUGGGCGUAAAGAGCGUGUAGGCGGCCACACAGGUCUGCUGUGAAAACUCGAGGCUCAACCUCGAGCUGUCGGUGGAAACCGUGUGGCUAGAGUCCGGAAGAGGAGAGUGGGAUUCCCGGUGUAGCGGUGGAAUGCGCAGAUAUCAGGAGGAACACCGAUGGCGAAGGCAGGUCUCUGGGCCACUACUGACGCUGAGAAGCGAAAGCAUGGGGAGCGAACAGG
rnacentral:rRNA from 1 species